UGACACGAGAAUGUAUGUUGAGUGCCUGGUC
rnacentral:piRNA from 1 species